UAGCAUCGAGUGUUAAAUAUGCUAGUCCUUUCAUGAUUAUGUGAUAGGUGGUGCAUGGCCGUUCUUAGUUCGUGGAGUGAUCUGUCUGCUUAAUUGCGUUUCACUAAGGGCCCAUAAAUUCAAGGUAUGUUAGCUCUCGUCGCUCUAUGGACCCCUUAACUCCAAUAUUCUUAUUGUGUUAAGCGCGUGUCUUUAUUUUAAGAGUUUUAAGACACUGCGCAUG
rnacentral:rRNA from 1 species